GGAAGUAAAAGUCGUAAUAAGGUUUCCGUAGGUGAACCUGCGGAAGGAUCAUUAUUAUAUAACCGAGGUGCGAGGGCUGUCGCUGACCCGAAAGGUCGUGCACGCCCGAGUGCCCUCACACACAUCCAUCUCACCCCUAUGUGCACCACCGCGUGGGUCCCCCUUUGGCUUGUUCGGAGGGGGGCUUACGUUUUCACACAAACUUUGUAUGCAGUGUAGAAUGUAUUUUUUGUUUUUGCGAUCACGCAAUCAAUACAACUUUCAACAACGGAUCUCUUGGCUCUC
rnacentral:misc_RNA from 1 species